UAAAGAAUACUUGGGCCUAUAACAAAUACUAAUUGAUAAUUUAGAUGUCUGUAGAGUUUCAAAGUGAGGAAAAGGAAAAUUCUGAUUAAGGAAUUAAAACUUAAUGAAAUGGCUAAAGUUGGUCUUAUGUACUGAAUGUUUGUGUACCUCCCAAAUUCACAUGGUGAAAUCCUAACCCCCAAUGUGAAGGUAUUAUGAGGUGGGAUCUUUGGAUAGAUUAGGUCAUGGGGUGAGCUCCCAUGAAUGGGAUUAGUGCCCUUAUGAAAGAGACCCCAGAGAGUUCUCUUACCCCUUCUGCCAUGUGAGGACACGGUGAGAAGACGGCCAUCUGUGAAGCAAGAAGAAGGUCCUCAUCAGACACCAAAGACGCCUUGAUCUUGGACUUCCCAGCCUCCAGAACUGUGAAUAAUAAAUUUUUGUUGUUUAAGUUACCCAAUCUAUGGUAUUUUUGUUAUAACAAUCAAAACAGACUAAGACAGUUAGUGUUAAAAUAGAACAUCCCUAGGGAAUACCCAAACUGGAUUCCCAUAGCCCAUUUACCUCUCCUCAACAUUUUGUGAGGUUUUUCUUAUAAAGCCCACACCCCAGACUUCAAGGCCUUUCCCUACUUUAUGUUUCCUAGUGGGAAUCCACCCCAGCUGUACCAUCACACCACUGCAUGUUCAGAAUCUCCCCUGCGGCAAUUGCCCAGCAGAUCUCUACCCUGUACGAGGACAGAACAUGCCUAUGGGCCAUUUACACUGACAAAGCUCUCUCUCAUCUCCUUAUAACCAUUGCUGCUGCUUUCUGGCCUCCAGCAGUUUGUUUCAGAACCAGAACAGGCCUUAGGGAUCAGCUGGUCAUUUGACAUGUAACGGAGAAGAUGAGAGAAGACCAAGGACACACCGCUUAUGGGAGUCAAGAUCAGGACUCUUUCAUGAGGCCGUAUUACGUAGAAAUCAUGCAUCGGACUUACUUGAGUAUUGGUAUUUAGCACCAACACCAAAGUUCAAGAAGAGGAAACAGUACAGCAGUUGCAGUUUCAUAGUCUGAAAAGUACCUGUGUAUUGUUUUCUUUUAAAUCCUUGUGGUAGAGUUGCCUUAUAAUUCUCUUGUUGGAAGAAAGAACAAAGACACUUUAGAAGCAAAGCUGGAUCAGGUUUUUAUUACAUAUUUUAUUAGAUGUUUGGGACAAGAUGACCAAAUUUAAAUAACAUGCUAUAGAAUAUUAAGAUUCAAUAGCAGUUUCAUAUUCCAGAAUACAAAGAGUUAAACUUCUACGUCAAGACCUUCAAAGGUCAUGGUUAAGAGGCAAACAGAAGAGUGCAGAGGUCCCAUCACGACCUGUCUGCUGAAGGCCUCCAUGCCCCUUCGGAUGGGAGCUUUGGGUCAGUUGUACAGUCACAUGGCUCACCCAUUGGUUCGUGUUUUUUUCCAGAAAUAGAAUCAAUAGAGAACAGACAAACCCACAGUUGCCAGUUUGUACAGUCUUGUGGUUUCUGUCAGGGGCUACAGGCUCGAGCAGGUCUACCAGAUAAUGAAGGCAAACUAUUUCAGUUCCUGUGGGUCCAGAGCGCCUCAGCAGAGUUCUGGUUUCAAACAAAUGAAUAACAAAUUAAAAGGUACAGUAAAAUAAGGGGGUGGUUAAAAUAUAUUAACUAAAAUCAAUGGAGGAGAAACGUAGUUAAAAAGCCUGCAUUCUCAGCAGUAGUCUGUGAUGUAUUUUGUUAAUCUCUUAAAAUUUAUGUUAAAAGCCUUUUAACAGAAAGUCAAUAUAUUUGGGUGGUUGAGCGAGUAUAUCAUCCUCUACCGGCAGUUGCAUUAAAUACGAGGCAGGCUCCACUGUUUGUAGGAAAUGAACAGGGGUCCAUCCAACGGAAGUCCCACCUCAAGGAGACCAGACAUUUUUCCCAAAACAGCCUGUGGAGCCAAGCUCACUAUUAGCCCCCCCCCCUUUGCUUAGGUUCCCCACUGACGUCAACGAGAGUCCUGGAAAUGAAGCGGGAUCAGAAUACCAGAAGCAUAGCCUAAUAAUAGAGCCAAAAUGGAGAGCAGAUGGAAAAUAAAACUUCUCAAUAAAGUGUGACCUAAUGUUAU
rnacentral:lncRNA from 1 species